rnacentral:rRNA from 1 species
CUCGACAACGGAUAUCUCGGCUCUUGCAUCGAUGAAGAACGUAGUAGAAAUGUGAUACUUGGCGUAAAUUGUAGAGUCCCGUGAACCCAUCGAGUUUUUGAACGCAAGUUGCGCCCAAAGCCUUCUGGCUGAAGGGCCCGUCUUCCUGGGCCUCACG